rnacentral:rRNA from 1 species
UACGGAGGGUGCGAGCGUUGUCCGGAAUCAUUGGGCGUAAAGGGCGCGUAGGUGGCCCGGUCAGUCAGUGGUGAAAGCGCGGGGCUCAACUCCGCGUCGGCCAUUGAUACUGCUGGGCUUGAGCACUGUAGAGGCAGGCGGAAUUCCGGGUGUAGCGGUGGAAUGCGUAGAGAUCCGGAAGAACACCGGUGGCGAAGGCGGCCUGCUGGGCAGUGGCUGACACUGAGGCGCGACAGCGUGGGGGAGCGAACAGG